CCCGCACAAGCGGUGGAGCAUGUGGUUUAAUUCGAUGCAACGCGAAGAACCUUACCUACUCUUGACAUCCAGAGAACUUAGCAGAGAUGCUUUGGUGCCUUCGGGAACUGUGAGACAGGUGCUGCAUGGCUGUCGUCAGCUCGUGUUGUGAAAUGUUGGGUUAAGUCCCGCAACGAGCGCAACCCUUAUCCUUUGUUGCCAGCGGUCCGGCCGGGAACUCAAAGGAGACUGCCAGUGAUAAACUGGAGGAAGGUGGGGAUGACGUCAAGUCAUCAUGGCCCUUACGAGUAGGGCUACACACGUGCUACAAUGGCAUAUACAAAGAGAAGCGACCUCGCGAGAGCAAGCGGACCUCAUAAAGUAUGUCGUAGUCCGGAUUGGAGUCUGCAACU
rnacentral:rRNA from 1 species